UCCAUGAACAGCGCUACUGCCUGGAUGC
rnacentral:sRNA from 1 species